rnacentral:misc_RNA from 1 species
GUGAACUGUGAAGUGUUCUGCUUGGUUUUUCUUUUCCAUCUGCGGAGUCCAUGAAUCUUUUUCAAGGGGAAAAAAGAGGAAGAAAGAUGUGAAAGCACUGUUGGGUUGUGUUCUUCUUGCUUUAUCUUUUGGUGUGUGUGAUCCCAAACACUAAGUCUGCAGAGGAUGAUAUACACAUUGCCGACGUUGAGUGUUGAUUUAGCUUGGCUUCUAUAGCUUCAGGAACUAUAUUCUGGUAAUGAUUUAGGAAGCCAAUUGGAUAUGAAUAUGCUGGUGCGGACAUGCUUGAACCAAGGGAAGCUGAUGUACCUGUGUUGUUUCUGGUUUUGGUUGUGCUUCCUCUUGUUGCUUACAUUUUACUUGGGAAAUGGAGUGAGGCUACAAAGAAGAGAGAGAGGAUAGAUUUGCUUGCUCAAAUGGCUACUGAAGAGGCACUUAGGGCAGAAGCAAUGCCUACUGCCACUGCUACUGCUACUGCUACUGCUACGGCUAUUCCUUUCGUGUCUCCUUCAAAGAAUAGAAUUCAUGUCUGUGCUAGAUGCUUAAGCCCAGCUACAACUCGCUGCUCGAGAUGCAAGUCUGUUAGAUACUGUUCUGGGAGAUGUCAAAUAAUUCACUGGAGGCAAGUUCAUAAGCAAGAAUGCCAGCAGUUGGAAACUACCAGUUCAUGCUCAUCUCCAAAUGCUACUGCAAUCAAGGACUCAAUUCCAGAGAGGAUCUCAAGUCUCUCAAUUAAUGACAGCUUGAAUUCAUUUUACUCUGGGUAUCAUUUUAAGUCAGCUUUGAUGAAUAAUGCACCUUCAGAGAAUACAGUUCAUCCUCCAAUAAUCAAUGGUGUCUCUGCUGGUACCAAUUGUGCUGCAGUUGAUGCCUAUCAAGAGGCCAUGCUACAGAAAAGAAGCGCAGAAAAGUGGGUUUAUCAUAAAUCCAAUGGAGAAAUGUUAAUAGGACAUGAUGUGGCUGUACUUGAUUCUCAGGAAGAAACUUCUGGAACGAGGCCUGCCUGCUUAACUUCUUCUAACGACACUGCCAGUGUGUAUAUCAAUGGGCAAGAUAGUGCUCAUAAUAUGCAUGUGAUUCCUAAAUAUUUAAGAGAACCUGGGAAGAUGUUUGAAUCAAGAAGCAAAUAUGGAUCUUUGGGUUCAUUGCAUUCAGAGAAAAAUGGGAUAAAAGUGCAUGAAACUGAAACAGACAUUAUUUUGAAUGGAGGAAAUAUGUCAAAUGUAGAAAAUACUUUUAAUGGUGAGAUGGGAGCAUUGAAUUGUUCUUAUGAAACAGCACCUACGAAGGGAAGUGUAAAGGGUAAAUGUGCAUUGCUGCCUGUGGGGACCAAAAUUUCUAAAUCAUCAAAAUCAACGAUGAAGGAGAAAGUCUUUGGAGAACAAUCAUACUCAGAAGUAGAGGGCAGGGAAAAAAUUGCAGAUGAUUCAAAGGCUGUUAGAAUGGGACAUGCCAUUCCUGCUCCAGGAAGCAAUGGAGUUGCUGGUGCUGGUAUUGUGAAGAAGAUGAGCAUAAGGAGGUCAACUAGACUUACUAGACAGGAUGUUAGAGGACUUAGUGGGACACACAGAAAAAUGCUGUUCCCUUAUGAAGAAUUUGUUGAGAUAUUUAACUGUGAGGCUGUUAUCUUAUCACCUAGGGGACUUGUAAAUUGUGGAAACAGUUGUUAUGCCAAUGCUGUCCUUCAAUGUUUAACCUGCACAAAGCCACUGAUCAUCUUCUUGCUUCGUAGAUCACAUUCAAGAUCCUGUUGUGGGAAAGAUUGGUGUCUUAUAUGUGAACUUGAGAAACAUGUAACGUUGUUAAGAGAAUUUGGUGGCCCUCUAUCUCCUAGUAGAAUCCUUUUGCACAUGCAGAAUAUCAAUUGCCAGAUUGGUGGUGGAAGUCAGGAAGAUGCUCAUGAGUUUUUAAGGCUUCUGGUUGCAUCAAUGCAAUCCAUAUGCUUGGAAGGACUUGGUGGUGAGAACAAGGUCAAUCCCAUAUUACAAGAAACAACCUUCAUACAACAUACUUUUGGUGGUCGUCUUCAGUCAAAGGUCAAAUGUCUGAGAUGUCAUCACGAGUCAGAACGAUAUGAAAGUAUAAUGGAUCUUACGCUAGAGAUAUUUGGUUGGGUUGAGUCAUUAGAAGAUGCAUUGACUCAGUUUACUACCCCUGAAGAAUUGGAUGGAGAAAACAUGUAUAGAUGUGGAAGGUGUGAUGAUGUUUUGUCCUUUCUUUAUGUUAUUGAUAUCAUUAUCUUACAAUAUUUUUUAACUUUAGAGGUUGAAACUUAAGUAACUUAUUGGCCCUGCAAAUAUCUUGAUAAUAAGGUGUGCCACAUAUGUCCAAGCUAGGAAGCAAUUGAGCAUACAUGAGGCACCAAACAUUCUGACAAUUGUUUUGAAACGAUUCCAGGUAACACUUGUGCAUUUGACUACUGAGGCCUUCACUAUGAUACUUUCCACUUCUGUCUGAAUGACAUCUACCUACAAAAAUCUAGCUUGUUUCAUGCAUUUUCAAGAGCUGUUAUUGGUUUUACGAGUUGUAAUCAUACAACUGACUGAUAUGAUGUUCACCUAAUCUUCUUUGAGUUCUACAUAAAGUGAAAAGGAAAUAGCUUAGCAUUGUAGGUAGUAACUUGCUGUUCCCUUGAUCUGCCCAAAUUACAAACUGAGAUGAAUUCUAAUAACAAAUGUCUUUAUUUUAAACUCAUUUAAAUUGAUCUUAGACUUGAUAUAGUUCUUGGUAUAUCUACUUUCCAGUUUGUUAUUUGCUAGAUGGGAUUUUAGUUCUUCAUUGUCAAGCUUGUUUAGUGCUUUUGAUCCUGGGUUUUGCUUUCCCAGGAAGGACAGUAUGGGAAAAUAAACAAAUGUAUUACUUUUCCUGACAUGCUGGAUAUGGUCCCAUUUAUGACUGGAAUGGAUGAUAUUCCUCCUCUUUACGUGCUCUAUGCUGUUGUGGUGCAUUUGGAUACAUUGAAUGCAUCCUUUUCUGGGCAUUAUGUGGCAUAUGUAAAAGAUAUGCAAGGCAACUGGUUCAGGGUAGAUGAUACUGAGGUAAAUCUUUCUCAUCAUUUCGGGUUUUUUUUUAGGGUUUUUCUUAACAUAACUGCUCAGCGCAUUUUUUUGUCUAUGCAUAAAUAUAAGCCCAUGAUGAAGUGAACUUUUGGAAAAAUGAAUGACAGUUAAAUACUUAAUGAGUCAGCAAUGCAUUUUUACUUCUAUAUUAUCUGAAAAACAGUUUCCAUGGAUAGUUAACGUUAUAAAUAAAUUGAUGUUAUUUAUAUAUAUAUCACUUUUUUUUAUUCAUCUUUGUUAACAAAUUGUAAUUUUGAAUUGUGGUGAAUGAGUGUAGAUGAAGCUUCAGAGCAUGAGCUGAGCUGACAGAGUAUAUCAAUUUGGACCUUUGAUGUUUCAAAUUUUUAAUUAAUUAGCAGUUUAUAUUUCACUAUUAAGUUGGCUUUUAACAUCUAUACACAUUUUCUUUGAAUGUUCAAUCAGUUGAUAUGCAGUUCACCUGGGUAGAUAUCUGCCAUCCAUAUUUUGUAUAAAAGACAGAUGUCAGAAAUUAUAUUUGUUGUUGUUACCCAUUUAUUGUUCUGCUUUCCUUUAGGGUUAGUGACAUGGUUGAUGUGAGGAUUUAACAAUAUUUGGCAACAUUUGAGAUUAUGGUUUUAAUUUUGUUUCUUAGUUCUUAUUUUGAUGAGAUAGGAUUUCAAGGUUUUGGAUGAUGGUUCCUUGACAGGUUCAUCCAGUGCCAAUGAGCCAAGUGAUGUCUGAGGGAGCAUAUAUUCUAUUUUACAUCAGGUCCUGUCCUCGCCCUCAGAGGGAAUUUAAUGAAAAACCUAUCCAGCAACAAGUUCCAUCAUCUGUAAGACAAUGCGUCUCAUCAAGUACACAGAAACCUUCAAGAAAGGGACAUGUCAAAUCAACCAGCCGCAUUCUUGGCUCAGAGCCAUCAUUGGAUUUCAAACCAGAAAAUGGUACUGGCCUUAACAACCACACUAAUGGGAUUCUGGGGAGCACAAACAGAAACAUUGCUCAAGCAAUGGAAUUCUCUGAUGCUACAUCAAGUGAUUGGUCUCUUUUUACAAGCUCAGAUGAGGCUUCCUUCACUACUGAGAGCACCAGAGACUCCUUUAGUACUGUGGAUUACUCUGAUACAUGCAAUGCAGAUAAAUUCUCCUCAAUCUUCAAUAACUUGUAUCCUCCACAGUCAUCCUCGCAGAACAGCACUCUUUGUUGUAGAACAUUUUCAAGUAGCAGGCCACAGACUAAGUUCAUCUCAGAGGAAAGGGGCUAUGUGUUAGACUCAUUCUUGUCAACGCAUCCUACAAAAGGGUUGUGGAGAUGAGAUAGUUUUAAACAGGUCAGUGAUUCUACUGAAUUUCCUACUUUCUUGUUGUACCAUGUCUUCAAAAUGUGGGAUUAAUCCAAAAUGUGGUCUUGAUUGAACUUCUGGCCAUUGUAAAUUAUAGGCUUGGAGAUCCCAACUGAUAAAUUAGAUGACUUAGCUAGGUGGAAUCUGUGCCUCAAUAAUUUUUGUUCGUAAUACUUUAUUAAUUGGGGCAUUGGGAUUGUUCUAUAUCACCCAAGGAAAGAAACAUUCUUGUCAGCAUUUAGAAUUAAUUGUUGAAAAUGUAAAGUGCCAGCAUCUCCAUGUGGGACUUUUCAGUCAUAUUUUCGUGUUUGAAAACUUGUGUUUCACUUGUUUGGAUCGCAUCAAACAUGCUAACAGAGGGC